rnacentral:rRNA from 1 species
AGAGUUUGAUCCUGGCUCAGAACGAACGCUGGCGGCGUGCUUAACACAUGCAAGUCGAACGGGAUCCAGAGCUUGCUCUGGUGAGAGUGGCGCACGGGUGAGUAACGCGUGGAUAACCUGCCCUGGUAUCCGGAAUAACAUCUCGAAAGGGGUGCUAAUACCGGAUAAGCCUACGGAGCCUUCGGUCUCUGCAGGAAAAGGUGGCCUCUAUUUAUAAGCUACCGUAUCAGGAUGGGUCCGCGUACCAUUAGCUAGUUGGUGGGGUAAUGGCCUACCAAGGCGACUAUGGUUAGCUGGUCUGAGAGGAUGAUCAGCCACACUGGAACUGAGACACGGUCCAGACUCCUACGGGAGGCAGCAGUGGGGAAUUUUGCGCAAUGGGGGAAACCCUGACGCAGCAACGCCGCGUGAGUGAUGAAGGCUUUCGGGUCGUAAAGCUCUGUCAGAGGGGAAGAAAUGAGAUUGGCUAAUAUCCAAUUUUCUUGACGGUACCCUCAAAGGAAGCACCGGCUAACUCCGUGCCAGCAGCCGCGGUAA